ACAAAGAAGGAAAAGAAAACCAAAGUCUCGUCGUUACUUUAUCAAAUUUAACUUUACCAAAGCGCUUCCUACAUUUCUCUCAGGAUUCAAGAUCAAUCUCAAGUAACAGCUGUUACUGAUUCGUGAGAAGAUUCCAAAGAUGUUGUUUCAAUGGCACACAGAGAUCGACUAAGUAUUCUACCAAAUGAAAUUCUUCAGAGAAUCUUGUCAUUAUUGCCGACAAAGGAUGCCGUGUCUACUUCUAUUCUCUCCCAUGGAUGGCGUGAACGGUAUCCCUCGAUCUCUAAUUUAGGUUUCCUCAGGGAGCGGAUGUAGAUAGGUUUGUGGAUUUUGUUAAUCAUGUCAUAGCUGUGCGUGGAGAUCAUUUUCUUAUUGAGAAAUUUUCUCUCACCGUUCUUAGAGAUUGAGGACGACCAUCUUAAUGCCUGGAUCUUGUAUGCAUUGGGGCAAGAUGUCAAGAAUCUGAAGCUAGGAAUCUUUGAGUUGGGAGGUGUUGAAGACUAUGAUAUUCCUGGAGGGAUUUUUCAGUCUGAGAAUCUUGUUAAGCUGAAGAUCUCAUCUACCAACUUUCACAUCAUUCCUCUUGAAGGUCUUGUGGUUCAUCUUCCUAAUCUGAAGUCCCUCUACCUUUGGUCAAGAGGUGGUUGCUGGAGUUAGGCUUGCCAACAUUGUCUCUGGUUGUCCUAAGCUUGAGAAGUUGGUAAUGCACGAUAUCAAGUGGUUCAGAUGGGAAUCCUGCACUGUGUCUAGCCCAACUCUCCAGGUGUUCAAGUUUUCUUACGAUGACGAGGGUGAAGCCGACCGUGACAGAUGUCUGCAGAACGUCUCCUUUGACACUUCAAAUCUUCUCUACUUGGAUUACUCUGAUGAUGUUGCUAGACAGUAUCACUACAAAAAAAAAGUGUGGUAUUACAUCAUUCAUUUUCUAUUUUUCAUCAGUUUUAAAUGAUACAAAAA